GAUGAACGCUAGCGGCAGGCCUAAUACAUGCAAGUCGAACGAGAUUACGAGGCUUGCUUCUUAUGAAAGUGGCGCACGGGUGCGUAACGCGUAUGCAACCUACCUUAAUCAGGGGGAUAGCCCGAAGAAAUUCGGAUUAAGACCGCAUAAAAACACAGGAUAGCAUUAUCCAAUGUUCAAAUAUUUAUAGGAUUAAGAUGGGCAUGCGUGUCAUUAGCUAGUUGGCGGGGUAACGGCCCACCAAGGCGACGAUGACUAGGGGAUCUGAGAGGAUGACCCCCCACACUGGUACUGGGACACGGACCAGACUCCUACGGGGGGCAGCAGUAAGGAAUUUUGGUCAAGGGAGGGAACCCUGAACCCGCCCUCCCGGGUGCAGGAAGACCGCCCCUUGGGUCGUAAACUGCUUUUAUUCGGGAAUAAACCUUUCUACGUUUAGGAAGCUGAAUGUACCGAAGGAAUAAGGAUCGGCUAACUCCGU
rnacentral:rRNA from 1 species